rnacentral:rRNA from 1 species
UACGUAGGGUGCAAGCGUUAAUCGGAAUUACUGGGCGUAAAGCGUGCGCAGGCGGUUCUAUAAGUCAGAUGUGAAAGCCCCGGGCUUAACCUGGGAACUGCGUUUGAAACUGGGAGACUUGAGUGUGGCAGAGGGGGGUGGAAUUCCACGUGUAGCAGUGAAAUGCGUAGAUAUGUGGAGGAACACCAAUGGCGAAGGCAGCCCCCUGGGUCAACACUGACGCUCAUGCACGAAAGCGUGGGGAGCAAACAGG